AGAGUUUGAUCAUGGCUCAGGACGAACGCUGGCGGCGUGCCUAACACAUGCAAGUCGAGCGAAGUGCUUUAAGUGGAAUCCUUCGGGAUAAAACUUGAAGCACUUAGCGGCGGACGGGUGAGUAAUACGUGAGGAACCUACCUUCCACAAGGGGAUAGCCUCGGGAAACCGGGAUUAAUACCCUAUGACACCUAGGUAUCGCAUGAUACUUAGGUUAAAGCGCUUUAGCGGUGGGAGAUGGCCUCACGUCCCAUUAGCUAGUUGGUGAGGUAACGGCUCACCAAGGCGACGAUGGGUAGCCGGCCUGAGAGGGUGACCGGCCACACUGGGACUGAGACACGGCCCAGACUCCUACGGGAGGCAGCAGUGGGGAAUAUUGCACAAUGGGCGAAAGCCUGAUGCAGCGACGCCGCGUGAGCGAAGAAGGCCUUCGGGUCGUAAAGCUCUGUCCUAUGGGAAGAUAAUGACGGUACCAUAGGAGGAAGCCCCGGCUAACUACGUGCCAGCAGCCGCGGUAAUACGUAGGGGGCGAGCGUUGUCCGGAAUGACUGGGCGUAAAGGGUACGUAGGCGGCUGAGUAAGUCAGGUGUGAAAGUCUAGGGCUCAACCCUAGUGAGCACUUGAAACUGCUUGGCUUGAGUCGAGGAGAGGAAGGUGGAAUUCCUGGUGUAGCGGUGAAAUGCGUAGAUAUCAGGAGGAAUACCAGUGGCGAAGGCGACCUUCUGGCCUUGGACUGACGCUGAGGUACGAAAGCGUGGGGAGCAAACAGGAUUAGAUACCCUGGUAGUCCACGCCGUAAACGAUGAGUGCUAGGUGUCGGGGGAGAUAUCCUUCGGUGCCGAAGUUAACACAUUAAGCACUCCGCCUGGGGAGUACGGUCGCAAGACUGAAACUCAAAUGAAUUGACGG
rnacentral:rRNA from 1 species